rnacentral:tRNA from 1 species
GUUCUGAGGCUCAGUGGUAGAAUUCUUGCCUAGCAUGCAUGAGGCACUGGGUUCAAUCCCCAGCACCACA